GCGGGCGUGGUAUAGAGGCCGUGCCCUUGGCUUCCAACCAAGAGACGAGGAUUCGAAUUCCUCCGUCCGCUCCA
rnacentral:tRNA from 1 species